AUGCGUAGAGUAACUCCCAAUAUAAGAGUAAAAACAAGACAAGGAAGAGCAAUUUCCAUUCGUUGGUUAUUAGAAGCAUCCCAAAAGCGUCCGGGUCAAAAUAUGACUUUCAAAUUAAGUUUCGAAUUAGUAGAUGCUGCCAAUGGGAGUGGGGGUGCCCUACGCAAAAAGGAAGCGACUCAUAGAAUGGCAGAGGCAAAUAGAGCUCUUGCACAUUCUUGUUAA
rnacentral:rRNA from 1 species